GCGCCUAUAGCUCAGCUGGUAGAGCAGAUCCCUCUUAAGGAUAAGGUCCCAGGUUCGAUCCCUGGUGGGCGCA
rnacentral:tRNA from 1 species